rnacentral:rRNA from 1 species
GCAGUCGAGCGGAACGAUGGGAGCUUGCUCCCAGGCGUCGAGCGGCGGACGGGUGAGUAAUACUUAGGAAUCUACCUAGUAGUGGGGGAUAGCUCGGGGAAACUCGAAUUAAUACCGCAUACGUCCUACGGGAGAAAGGGGGCAGUUUACUGCUCUCGCUAUUAGAUGAGCCUAAGUCGGAUUAGCUAGUUGGUGGGGUAAAGGCCUACCAAGGCGACGAUCUGUAGCUGGUCUGAGAGGAUGAUCAGCCACACCGGGACUGAGACACGGCCCGGACUCCUACGGGAGGCAGCAGUGGGGAAUAUUGGACAAUGGGGGGAACCCUGAUCCAGCCAUGCCGCGUGUGUGAAGAAGGCCUUUUGGUUGUAAAGCACUUUAAGCAGUGAAGAAGACCUAACGGUUAAUACCCGUUAGCGAUGACAUUAGCUGCAGAAUAAGCACCGGCUAACUCUGUGCCAGCAGCCGCGGUAAUACAGAGGGUGCAAGCGUUAAUCGGAAUUACUGGGCGUAAA